rnacentral:rRNA from 1 species
UCCAGAGGUCUCAAGCGUUGUUCGGAUUCAUUGGGCGUAAAGGGUGCGUAGGUGGCGGGGUAAGUCAGGUGUGAAAUCUCGGGGCUCAACCCCGAAACUGCACUUGAUACUGCCUUGCUCGAGUACUGGAGAGGAGAUUGGAAUUUACGGUGUAGCAGUGAAAUGCGUAGAUAUCGUAAGGAAGACCAGUGGCGAAGGCGAAUCUCUGGACAGUUACUGACACUGAGGCACGAAGGCCAGGGGAGCAAACGGG